AAACCACCCCCGAGUCAAUCGACCACGCCUCGCACCCCCAUCUGGAUCCGCCGCCUCCCCACCGCCGGCCCGCAUCAUCCGUCGCGCCCUCCUCCCCGUGUCUCCGAGUCCUCCGCGUGCAGCUUGCCGACGUCGAGGCCCAGGCCGCCGCGCUCCGGGAUCGCGCCGGCCGUCUCGAGCGCGUGCCGCCGACUGCGAUGGGCUGCUCGGCACACUCCGCGCCGCCACGGGCAACAGGUGGUAGGACGAGGAGAGGGUGGUGGAGACAGCGAAGGAGCUGGUAGGAGGAGGAGGAGAGGAAGGUGGAGGCGGCAGAGGAGCCAGUAGGAGUACGAGAGGGAGGUGGAGGCGGCGGAUGAGGGAACGGGGAUGACGGGGACAGAUCGGACUACACACCGGAGGACGAGGGCAUCACACCGCCUACCGAUUCCUUCUUCCUCGCGUCCCGGUUACAUGGCCGUCGCUGCAGUCGCCCAACAUCGACCACCUUGCCCCGAUUAGCUCUUGGAUACGCGGACGACCGGAUGUGCUCCAGCGCGGCCGCCUAUGGGCUGGUCCCACAAUGAAUCGACAACUAAGCUCGGGGACGUGAUAUGGUGCUCGGUGUAGGUGGCCAUGGUGGACCUGAAGCUGGCUUAGAUAAGCGAUGGGAUCGAGCGGCGGCGCUCCCGAUCUGAUCGGGAGCAGGAUGACGACGGCGAGCACAUGGCGGACGAGAGGAGCAGGAGGGGAGGCGCGGAGGCGGGGCCAUAUGUGUCGGACGCGCGCGUUCGCCCGCAGUCAACGCGGACACAGCGGCCGUCCAUGGCGGCUCGGGUCGAUGUAGGAGGACGAGGGGAGGAGCUUGCGAGGCCCGACACCGGUAAUGGAGCGGAGGCGGCUGGAUCUGGCAAUUCUGGAGGGGCUGGCGACGAGCGGCUCCAUGGGCGGCGACCUGCGGGGUUCAAGCGGCGGCUGAAGGUUUGUCAGAUAUACUUCCAUUUUAUGCAUGGGUUGAUCCCUCCCCUGGAUACUGUCAAGGUUUGCAUUUCAAUGGAGCAUUGCAUCAUUUUGCUUUAAUUAUUUAAACUGUCUAAAUGGUACAAGUUGAGUGUAGGUAUGAGCGAUCUGGUUUCCUCUUUUGUUGUUCUAUACGAGGAUGAUCCAGAUGCCUUUUGGUGUUUUGAGAUGCUACUGAGAAGGAUGGUAAUUUGUAUCUAUGUCAAACCAUACUGGCAUACGUUAGGUUGGUAUUUUUGCAUGACUUAAUGCAUGAUAUAAAUUCUGUUGCAUCUCAGCGUGAAAAUUUCCACCUCGAGGGACCGACAGGAGUUAUGAAGCGGUUGGAAGCAUUGUGGAAGAUCAUGGAAUUGACAGAUACGGAACUAAUAAACUGGCAAGGAUCAAACAGGCAAAUGGAGUCCUAAUUUUCUAUUGGAAGUUCACAUGACAUGGUUCUAUGUUUGAGGCUUCAACAGACUGCGUAUGCCUCAAGAUUUGAGGUGUGAGUGUGCGACUUGAUUUUCUGUGUUGUUACAGUUAAUCGGUAGUGGAUAAGUCAAAUUUUGUUAUGUAGAUUGGUAAAACUAAUUAAGUUAAUUUUUUCUUAUUUAUGGGUUAUAAUUUAUUACUCCAAAAGCAGAUUUGUGUAUGUUAAAUACAUUUUCAUAGGGAUAUAAGACUAGAAGUGUGGAUGUUUGUCAAUUUUCAGAGGGAAAUAAGCAACAGAAUAGACAUAAAAACAUGGCUGCUUUGGGAAAUUUUGGAUGUUACCCAUGGCUCAUGCAUGAUGGUAGUUGUUGCGAAGAUCAUCUUAUCUAUCCAUCAUGAAUCAUCCCAGCACAACAAAUUGUCUAUUUAGUUCAUCACAAACACCAGUAUCACAGGGAUAAUGGAGGUA